rnacentral:rRNA from 1 species
GACGAACGCUGGCGGCGUGCUUAACACAUGCAAGUCGAACGGAAAGGCCCUGCUUGCAGGGUACUCGAGUGGCGAACGGGUGAGUAACACGUGGGUGAUCUGCCCUGCACUUCGGGAUAAGCCUGGGAAACUGGGUCUAAUACCGGAUAGGAGCCAUUUUUAGUGUGAUGGUUGGAAAGUUUUUUCGGUGUAGGAUGAGCUCGCGGCCUAUCAGCUUGUUGGUGGGGUAAUGGCCUACCAAGGCGGCGACGGGUAGCCGGCCUGAGAGGGUGGACGGCCACAGUGGGACUGAGAUACGGCCCAGACUCCGACGGGAGGCAGCAGUGGGGAAUAGUGCACAAUGGGCGCAAGCCUGAUGCAGCGACGCCGCGUGGGGGAUGACGGCCUUCGGGUUGUAAACUCCUUUCGCUAGGGACGAAGCUUUUUGUGACGGUACCUAGAGAAGAAGCACCGGCUAACUACGUG